UGGGUGCACCUGCUGUGUAGCUCAAGUGUGAUGGGCUCUGGAGUGCCCCACUUCUGAUCUCAGGCUGCUAUCUCUCCACACCAGCUGUGUCUCCCCGCUAACCACGCUACCAGAGCUGUGAUUGUGCCCGCUGAGUGGACUGCGUUGUCAGGGAGUGAGUGCGCCAUCAUCGGGAGAAUCCAAGCAGGACCGCCAUGGAGGAAGGUCAAUAUUCAGAGAUCGAGGAGCUUCCCAGGAGGCGGUGUUGCAGGCGCGGGACUCAGAUCGUGCUGCUGGGGCUGGUGACCGCCGCUCUGUGGGCUGGGCUGCUGACUCUGCUUCUCCUGUGGCGUGAGGACACCCCCAGCUCCAUGUGGUCCCCCCAACUCAUGGGCCCCUUCUGUGUUCCCUCCUUCACCCCCAUCUCAGAGCUGGGGGAGCCCAACGCAUCCUCUCAAAACCCAAUUUUCCCAUCCUGCCUCCCAUCUUUCCACUGCCAGCCCUUUCCCAUCCCCCACCCUCCAGAGCCCCUCACCCCACACCCAGCUUCCCUGUCCUCCACCCUUUCAGCACCUCCAUGGCUUAUACUCAAGACCUCCAUCCCCAGCUGGGAGGUGGGGUGCAGGCAGGUGGGGGCACUGACAAUCCCCCCUCUCCACUCCUCUUCUCUCCCCCUCCCCAGACUGGGACACCACACAGAGUCUAAAACAGCUGGAAGAGAGGGCUGCCCGGAACGUCUCUCAAGUUUCCAAGAACUUGGAAAGCCACCACGGUGACCAGAUGGCGCAGAAAUCCCAGUCCACGCAGAUUUCACAGGAACUGGAGGAACUUCGAGCUGAACAGCAGAGAUUGAAAUCUCAGGACUUGGAGCUGUCCUGGAACCUGAACGGGCUUCAAGCAGAUCUGAGCAGCUUCAAGUCCCAGGAAUUGAACGAGAGGAACGAAGCUUCAGAUUUGCUGCAAAGACUCCGGGAGGAGGUGACAAAGCUAAGGAUGGAGUUGCAGAUGUCCAGCGGCUUUGUGUGCAACACGUGCCCUGAAAAGUGGAUCAAUUUCCAACGGAAGUGCUACUACUUCGGCAAGGGCACCAAGCAGUGGGUCCACGCCCGGUAUGCCUGUGACGACAUGGAAGGGCAGCUGGUCAGCAUCCACAGCCCGGAGGAGCAGGACUUCCUGACCAAGCAUGCCAGCCACACCGGCUCCUGGAUUGGCCUUCGGAACUUGGACCUGAAGGGGGAGUUUAUCUGGGUGGAUGGGAGCCACGUGGACUACAGCAACUGGGCUCCAGGGGAGCCCACCAGCCGGAGCCAGGGCGAGGACUGCGUGAUGAUGCGGGGCUCCGGUCGCUGGAACGACGCCUUCUGCGACCGUAAGCUGGGCGCCUGGGUGUGCGACCGGCUGGCCACAUGCACGCCGCCAGCCAGCGAAGGUUCCGCGGAGUCCAUGGGACCUGAUUCAAGACCAGGCCCUGACGGCCGCCUGCCCGCCCCCUCUGCCCCUCUCCACUCUUGAGCAUGGAUACAGCCAGGCCCAGAGCAAGACCCUGAAGACCCCCAACCACGGCCUAAACCCUCUUUGUGGCUGAAAGGUCCCUGUGACAUUUUCUGCCACCCAAACGGACGCAGCUGACACAUCUCCCGCUCCUCUAUGGCCCCUGCCUUCCCAGGAGUACACCCCAACAGCACCCUCUCCAGAUGGGAGUGCCCCCAACAGCACCCUCUCCAGAUGAGAGUAUACCCCAACAGCACCCUCUCCAGAUGAGAGUAUACCCCAACAGCACCCUCUCCAGAUGGGAGUACACCCCAACAGCACCCUCUCCAGAUGCAGCCCCAUGUCCUCAGCACCCCAGGACCUGAGUAUCCCCAGUUCAGGUGGUGAGUCCUCCUGUCCAGCCUGCAUCAAUAAAAUGGGGCAAUGAUGGCCUCCCACA
rnacentral:sRNA from 1 species